rnacentral:rRNA from 1 species
GAUCAUGGCUCAGGACGAACGCUGGCGGCGCGCCUAACACAUGCAAGUCGAACGAGAGAUGAGGAGCUUGCUCUUUAAAUCGAGUGGCGAACGGGUGAGUAACGCGUGAGGAACCUGCCUCAAAGAGGGGGACAACAGUUGGAAACGACUGCUAAUACCGCAUAAGCCCACAGCUCGGCAUCGAGCAGAGGGAAAAGGAGCAAUCCGCUUUGAGAUGGCCUCGCGUCCGA